AUUACUUUCCUCUCCUUCCCCUUAUGCAGAGAACAUCACCACCCUGAAGCCAGAGACUAACACUGCAGGACUCAGCAGGAUCUUUCCUGCCAUGCUGAUGCCAUAUAUUCCAACGUGAUCAACCUGGCUCCCCAGAAGGAGGACGACUUUGCUGUCUACACCAACAUGCCCCCUUUUCAUCACCCCAGGAGGACAUUGCCAGACCAAGUGGAAUAUGUCUCCAUUGUAUUCCACUGAUGGGAAGCUAAUGAGAUGCUCAGAGUGGGGGUCAGACCUGGCCCCAGCUGAAUCUUGGCAUACCCUUUGCUUUAGAUUUAUGUGUGUGUUUAAAAAAAAAAAAAUACAUAGGCCAGGCACGGUGGCUCACACCUGUAUCCCAGCACUUUGGGAGGCUGAGGCAGGCAGAUCACCAGGUCAAGAGAUCAAGACCAUCCUGGCCAACAUGGUGAAACCCCGUCUCUACUAAAGAUACAAAAAUUAGCCAGGUGUGGUGGUGCAUGCCUGUAAUCCCAGCUACUUGGAAGGCUGAGGCAGGAGAAUCACUUGAACCCAGGGGGCGGAAGUUGCAGUGAGCCAAGAUCACACCGCUGCACUCCAGCCUGGCAACAGAGUGAGACUCCAUCUCUAAAAAAAGUAAAUAAAUAAAAAUAAAACGUAAAACAUAUUCUGAUGGAGGUGGAUGGCUAGACAUUUCUUCUGAUUUAUUAGAAUCAAAGUACUGUUCUAAUAGAAAGGAGUGACAUACAAGAAACACAGGACAUGCUCGUCCAGAUCACCCCCAGCCCCAGAGGCAGGCUCCUGAGACAGCCUGGCCAACAAGGAAGCCCUCUGAGCUCCUGCCCCUCCUGAGGCAAAAGGGCCGAGGAGGGGGAUUCAGACCAUUUCAGGUCCAGCUGCUUUUGUCUCUCCAGUCUUACCCUGUCAGGAGUUAACACCCCAUGGGUGUCAACUUAGGAGUCAUGCUUGUAUCUGUGAUCACGUGCAUGGCUGACUGCCUCGUGUGUCUGCACAAUACAACUGCUGGACAAUAUGCCAGAUGUGGAGGAGGAGGCAUAGGGGGGCUGCAGGUGCCUGGGAAGUGCUUCUUACUGAGGAACUUGGUGAGCUCCCAGGAAGCAUGGGGGCCACCUGAGAAAGGGGACGGGGGAGGAGUGCCAAGCGGGAAGUGGGCUGUGUGUCACCACUGGCCAGGAACAGCUCCCGUGGGAACUGUGGUAGAUGACUGGAACUUUACAAUUGAUUUACUCCUUCUUUUCGUCAUUCACAAGUAGUCAUUAAGCACUUCCGUGAUCUAGGUCCUGGGAAUACAGCAGUGAUCCCAACAGACAAAGCCUUGUCCUCACAGAGCUUACCUUCUAGAACGAACAAAGAAACACAUAAACACACAAAAUGUCAGAUGGUGGGAUGUGCUACGGGGAAAUAAAGCAAGCAUUCCCUACCCUACACUUCCUUGUAAGAGGUAAGAGUGGGUUGCUAGUUUGUAUCAGGUGUUCAGGGAAGGCCUUACUGACAUUUGACCUAAAAGAAAGGUAAGAAUGUGACACCUGAUGAUAAAUAGGGAAAGAGUAUUUCAGGCAGGAGGAAUGGCAGUGCAAAGGCCCUGAGGUAGACGUGUACCUGACAUGGUCAAAGAAAAGCGAGGAGAUGAAUGUGUCUGGAAUGGAACUGGGGGGUUGCAAGGAUCACAGCAAAGAUGUGGGGAGAGUCAGGGUUCUUCACUAUUAGGAGGGGGCUUGGAAAACGGCAAGUUUCAAGCAUGGCUUGUGUUUUAAAAAGAUUUUUCUGCCUCUCCCUCUCCCUCUCCCUCUCCCCAUGGUCUCCCUCUCCCUCUCUUUCCACCGUCUCCCUCUCACGCCAAGCCAAAGCUGGACUAUACUGCUGCCAUCUCGGCUCACUGCAACCUCCCUGCCUGAUUCUCC
rnacentral:lncRNA from 1 species